GUAGUACUCCCUCCGUCCGGAAAUACUUUUAUCAAAAUGAAUAAAAGUGGAUGUAUCUAGAUGUAUUUCAGUUUUAGAUACAUCCAUUUUUGUCCAUUUUGAUGACAAAUAUUUUCGGAAGGAGGGAGUAGUAG
rfam:Triticum aestivum genome assembly, contig: Triticum_aestivum_CS42_TGACv1_scaffold_031330_1BL